AACGUGCUCCGGGGUCGGUGUGAAUCCGAACCGGCGGUGACAGUCCGCGAGCGUCAAGGGAAACCGAGACGCUGAUCCGGUGAAAUUCCGGUACCGACGGUGAUGCGAGAGAAAUCUCGCUAGUCCGGAAGGGAGGCAGCACGAC
rnacentral:ncRNA from 2 species